ensembl:lncRNA translation initiation factor IF-2-like
GGGCUGGAGGAGUGGACGCCGCUAAGGAAGGCGCCAUGUCCCACCGGCGGGGGGCAGUAGGCACGCUCGCACCCCCCGCCCCGCCCCGGGCGUGGCGCUGUUGGCACAAGCGGGAAAUAAAGGCUUCCCGGGAGCAGGAACGGGGCUGCGAGGGAGAUGCUUGGGUCGGCGGACAACGGUCGCACGGAAGGGCGGGGGCCGCCCCCGCCGUUGGUUUCGCCCACGCCCCCCGCCUCCCCCGGGAGCCCGUGACAGGUGGAUCCUCACACAUUUUCUGGUCCUGAUGGUGAAGAGAGACUGGCAGGAAUGGAGACCUGGUCAAGACAAAGUCUUAAAUAAUGCAAGUGAAGACUGAGUAGUGUGUCCAUGCUGCUCUUAAAAGCAGACUCUUGUAAUGUAGCUCUGCUUUCUGAUGCAAAUGCAGGAAGAACAAAAAAAAGCAUCUUGGUUUGAUGAUGUUGCAUUUCUUCAUAAAAGAGUCAGCUGCCAGUUUGUUGGGAGUAGUGGUAUAAGAGACAGGCACUUGUGUUUAAAGUCUCUUGCAACUUGUGAGUUGCAAGUUUGAAAUUCAGAUAAAGCCCAAGUUAUUUUUGGUUCUGGGAAUGGGCCAGUCUGCUAAUAGUGGAAACACUAUGAUCAAACAUCUGUGUUCAUGUGUAUUGUCCGUGGUUCUCUGUCAUGGAUUUUCUCAGCAGACUUUCCUCAGGUGCCAAAAUCAGUGCCAAGAGCCUGACUGGUUGGGAAUGUGCCAUAAAUAUGGGAUUUCAAUGCAGAUUGUUUCUGUGGUUCUGGACUCUCAGGUGUAAAAUUUCCACUUUGCAGUAUCCCGAAUAUAAAUCAGCAGAAAGUUGAGUAGACAAAACCAUUUCUCAGUGGAAGAAAGGGAUUGUUGAACAACAGAGCAAAUCAGGGGACCACAGAAGCAGAGUCCUAGUCCAGCUGAAACUUGUGUGCAGUUGAAGUCACAACCCCUGAGUUACCUCUCUAGUCCUGUCAGUGCCACCCUUAACCCCCUAUACCCUGCCUGAACUGAUGGCUUUGAAUUUCCAGAUGUUCUUAUUUGUUUGUUUAUUUGCUGUCACUUCCAAGUCAGGUAGCAAAUUUGAAGGAGCAGUAGAUCAGUCCCUGUUGGACACAAUUGAAAUCUCAUGGUCUUCCACAAAAUAAAGUACUCCAGGCAUACUUUAUAGUCACCUGCAGCAAGAUCUACCCCUGGAAAAACUGUGGUGUUUGAAGCUGGGUAUAUCAGUUCCAAUUGGUUUGGUUUUCAUUUUUGAAAACUUUGAAGUUCUGGGCAGCUGCAAGCCUUGACCAGCUAAUCAAAUGAGGGCAGAGGUCCUCUCCUUAGCCAAGAGUCUGCAGAAGCUCAGGAGCCACGUGUGAUCUCUACUGAUGCUGCUCUUUAAGGAUUUUGAGGUGUGGAGUCAACAUUAUGCUCCCAGUAGCUCAGGAGGCCUCAGACUAUGAGGCAAAUCCUUUUGCAGCAGAGCAGGCAAAAUGUGAUGAGACAGCCUUGGAUUCAUGUGGCAACGUGCAUGUAUUGAAAGACAGCAACAAAAAAUGCAGACUGACCAACAGAACCCACAGGAUGCCAUUUUGUGUCCUACAGAACAUAAAUUAAUACUUACAUUGUUGCCAUCUUGCCAAAUUUUAGUCAACCUGCCUAAAAUACGUGGCUAUUUGGCACAUGAGGGAAAGCAGCAUAAACUAGUAAAAUCUGCCAGUAGGUCAAGGAGAAAGGAGUUUCAUUAAUGUUUUUCUGCAUUUGUUUUCCUUACUGUUGUUUUCUUUUACUCCAAGGUAAAUAUAAAUUACUGAACAAUUUUCUUGAUAUUUGGAACAAAAAAUCUUGUGGUACUUCCUUUUUGUACUCUAGCAGUGGCUUUUCUAUUGUCCAGGAGUUUGUAUUUAAAUUAUCUGCAAUUUUCUUUCUAACUACCCACUCUAAAGUUCUGGUGGGUGUUGUGUGAUGAUCUGUGUUUUAACAGUAUAUGGUGGUCAAGAAACUGGGGAAGCUGAUCUAAACCCCAUUUAUAUAUUCAUUUUAUGUUGUUUUUUUUUCCGCACAAAAAAUGCAAAUGCUUUGCUAGCAAUAAGGAAAACCUAUACAUGGAUAGGAGAAUUAUUAAUGAAAAUAGGAAAAAAAUCAUCACAAUGCUCUUUAUUACUAUGUUGAAGAAAAAAUUGCUUUUUAAUCUCAUAAAUACUUUCCCAGCAUUGGGUAGUAAGGGGAGUGAACUAGUCUAGGAAAUGGGUUAUUAUAAAGAAAAAAAUACAGGGUUUUUUAAUGAAAAUUUUGAAAAUAAAGGCUAAAUGCUGUGGUUAUAGACUUUAAUUAUUAUUAUUCUGUCUUGCUUGAAUCAUGUGGUCGUUUUUGUCUAUUGCUCUCUCUGUCCUUGGUUAGGAUGAGUUUAAAACCUGGAUUGUCUUUGAAAGGCUUAAUGUGGGAAUGCAUUUGGGAGUUAAGUGGUAAUUCAUGGUCAUAAGAAGUCCACACAGUCACCAGGUAAGCAGUAAUAUCCAUCCCUGUGCAGCAACAUGUCAGCAAUUCAGUGCAAACAUGGAAAACCAUGAAUUUGUGCCAUCACCUUAACUGUAUUCUGAGCUGUUUGAUGAAAUUCAGAAAGCAGGGCGUUUUGGGGUGUUCUGUGGAUUUGCUGUGUAAGAGACCAGUUCUGUGCAUGCCAGCAUGAGUGCAGGGACCCUUUGCUGAAGCUCUACCAGCAGAAGAAACAAUUGUUAGAAGAUCUGUAUCCUAUUUUUGCUGUGUAUAGAUCUAUGUUGUACUAACUGACAGUUUCUGCUGACUUGGAGAAAUAAAUAAUGUCAAAAAU